UAAAUUUAGAAAAUAAUGGUCCAAAUUCUAAUUCAUUCCUACAUUCCCCUAUGAAGCCAUCUUGUUGAGCGGUGAUAUCACUCCGAAUGCACUGUUCUGCAGCGUCGGUCAGUCGAUGGACAAAAUCGUGAUGUCUUCAGAUGGAGACUGGAGCGGCGAUGCGGGUUCACAAACGACUUUAUACGCAUCGACGAGGCUUAAGGUUGAGAUCUCAUCGCCGAGUUGAAUGACAGCGAGGUGGCCGACUAUGGUGGCGCGCUUGACGAAGGAGUUUAGGGGAGG
rnacentral:lncRNA from 1 species